GGAGGGGGAGGAGCUCUGGAUGCCCUUGUGGAUGCGCUGGAGCUCGACCGUUCGGGAGGCAGGUCUAGCCGGAAUCACACGCUUGCCUGCAGGACAGACCACGACUCUGCUUGUGGAAGGUUUUCCGAGGACAACGUCCCGCGAUCCCGCUGCCUCUUUCCCACGGAGCUGUGGCCGAGUUUCAGUUGAACAAUCCACAAGGGUCAAGACUCUGGAGAGCAGGUCUAGGAGAGGCCGCUAGAGGCCGCGCUCGGUCCCUUCCCAGAGAAACCGAAAGGGCUCCAGCGAAUGUGUGUUCAGCCAGCACUGUGUUCUUUCAUAACCUCCGCGCUGUGCUUGCGGCUCUCUGCGAAGGCCGGAGGCAGAUCAGACACCGGCCUCGAAGUCAGAGAAUGCUGUAGCCCCUCCAUCACAGAUGGUGGGAUGCUGGGUGGCCUCUUAGAGCCCCUCCUCCGACUGCCGGGCCUCUCCCCAGGGCUCCCCUGGGGCUGAAAGCUUGGUCUGCUGAUAACAGUCCCCUGACCCCGCUGGGAUUCUGAAGCCCAGAGAAUGGAUAUGGAGAGAAAGCAGUGGAGCAAAGGUGGAGAGAGAAGGAACCUCAGAGCUCAAGCAGGCAGACUCCUUCCAAGCGUGGCACCUGAGCCUUGGGACUGCUCCCCUGGAGGUUGGGCCUGAGUUGACGCUACAAGAGGAACCCAAGUGGAAGAAAUCAACCAACCUGGGAAAUGAAGCAGAGGUUUCUAGAGGCUGCCCCGCCUAAAAGAGUGUUCAAAGGCCACUGAAUUCUUAAGUUCGAUCCAAGUCUUCAUUCUUAGGCGCUUACUGCACACCAGUCACUAUGUUGACGGACGGCAGAAGGCCCAGAUCCUCUGGGUCUAAAAGGUGAUUCAGACACAUUCCAGGACAAGUCAACAGCCAUCUGGAAACCCAUAUGACAGCCCUUUCCCCCCCAAGGAUGGAGACCCUGGAACACUUACAAAGCCCACAUCUCUCUGUGAAUGUAACCACUGACAUUAUCAUCUGAAUAAUGAUCACUGUCUUAUCUCCAGGCCCACCGACUGGCUCCCACUUCUUCAUAAAACACUCAUGCAUAUCUGCUCAUCUCUGCACCAGCUAUGCUUUCCAUUGUAGGCAUCACAGUGGUCAACCAUAUGAUCACUGGUGUUGGAUGGCCCAGGUUCAAAUCCCAUCUCUGCCACUUACUGGCUACAUGACUUUGGGUAAGUCACUUUAUUUCUCUGACCAUUUUUCUUAUUGGAAUAAAGGGGAUAAUUACAAAACCUCCUGUGGUUUAUUGUAAGGAUCAGAUAAGUUCAUGUCUACAGAAUUUUACAGUGGUGUCUGGGGUAUAGGAAGAAAUUAUAUGGUAAUGGGAUGGCACUGAUAAUGAUGAUGAUUUUCUGAGAUGAUCAUUUCUCCCUCAUUUAUUUAGCAAGAUUUUAUUAAUACAUUACCUAAAAUAUUACCUGUUCUUGCACAACAAAGGAAACCCUAAAUAAAA